rnacentral:tRNA from 1 species
GAGGGUAUAGCUCCAUGGUAGAGCACAUGCUUAGCAUGCACAUGGUCCUGGGUUCAAUCCCCAGUAUCUCCA